AGCAGUGUGGCUCAGUGGAAAGAGCCUGGGCUUCGGAGUCAAAGGGUCAUGGGUUCGACUCCCGGCUCUGCCA
rnacentral:tRNA from 1 species